rnacentral:rRNA from 1 species
GAUGAACGCUGGCGGCGUGCCUAAUACAUGCAAGUCGAGCGGUAAGGCCACUUCGGUGGUACACGAGCGGCGGACGGCUGAGUAACACGUAGGAACGUACCCCAAAGUGAGGGAUAAGCACCAGAAAUGGUGUCUAAUACCGCAUGCGCUCUUCGGAGGAAAGCUUCGGCGCUUUGGGAACGGCCUGCGCAUGAUUAGCUUGUUGGUGAGGUAAUGGCUCACCAAGGCGAUGAUCUUUAGCUGGUCUGAGAGGAUGAUCAGCCACACUGGGACUGAGACACGGCCCAGACUCCUACGGGAGGCAGCAGUGGGGAAUAUUGGACAAUGGGCGCAAGCCUGAUCCAGCCAUGCCGCGUGAGUGAUGAGGGCCUUAGGGUUGUAAAGCUCUUUCAGUAGGGAAGAUAAUGACUGUACCCCAAGAAGAAGCCCCGGCUAACUCCGUGCCAGCCGCCGCGGUAA